rnacentral:rRNA from 1 species
UUGACCUCGAAUCAGGUAGGAAUACCCGCUGAACUUAAGCAUAUCAAUAAGCGGAGGAAAAGAAACCAACAGGGAUUGCCCCAGUAACGGCGAGUGAAGCGGCAACAGCUCAAAUUUGAAAUCUGGCCCCUUGGGGCCCGAGUUGUAAUUUGUAGAGGAUACUUUUGGCGAGGCGCCUUCCGAGUUCCCUGGAACGGGACGCCAUAGAGGGUGAGAGCCCCGUCUGGUUGGAUGCCGAGCCUCUGUAAAGUUCCUUCGACGAGUCGAGUAGUUUGGGAAUGCUGCUCUAAAUGGGAGGUAUAUGUCUUCUAAAGCUAAAUAUAGGCCAGAGACCGAUAGCGCACAAGUAGAGUGAUCGAAAGAUGAAAAGCACUUUGGAAAGAGGGUUAAAAAGUACGUGAAAUUGUUGAAAGGGAAGCGCUUGUGACCAGACGUGGGCCUGUCGGAUCAUCCAGCGUUCUCGCUGGUGCACUCCGGCGGGCUCAGGCCAGCAUCAGCUCGUCCCGGGGGACAAAGGCAGCGGGAAUGUGGCUCCUUCGGGAGUGUUAUAGCCCGCUGUGUAAUGCCCUGGGGCGGGCUGAGGUUCGCGCAUCUGCAU